rnacentral:rRNA from 1 species
ACGCUUCUCCUAAAGACUAAGCCAUGCAUGCUUCCGAAUAAGAGGUAGCAAUACUCUCUGAAUCUGCGAACGGCUCCGCACACCAGUUGUAAACUAUAGCAAGCAUGUCCGGAACCUGGCCUUCGGGCUGGGCGCUGGGCAAUAUGGAUAACCCUGGUAAUUCUGAGGCUAAUAGAUGUACGUAAAACUCGACUGACCGGCAACGGGAUGUUGGGGGGCGUGUAUUUGGGUCGCAAGAAGGGCCGGGAAAGGAUGCAUGUUCAGACCGCGACAAAGACGUACCCUCACGGGCACGAGCGGCUCUUGCAAUGUGCUUCUGACCUAUCAACUAGAUGGCAGCGUAACGGACAUGCUAUGGUUGCAACGGGUACAGAGGAUUAGGGUUCGAUCCUGGAGAGUGGGCCUGAGAGAUUGCUCACACUUCUAAGGAAGGCAGCAGGCGCGCAACGUUCCCAUUGGACAAUGUCCGAGGGCGUUAGGGGAAAUAUGAAUGCUUGCCAUUGGUAGGCAAUUCAAAUGGGUCUGUUCUAAACAGCCUA